UCUAACUACCAUCACUUGCCUACAAUCGCUCAACACAUCGCAUGACCACAAUCACCAGACUAUGAUAACUUGACUAUUGUUUCUCCAACACCUUCUCGGAUAGGAAUAGUUUCCCAUGAUGGCUCCAACUUAACAAAGCAAGCAACGUAGUUUGAAGAGUGUUAAUGGUGCUUUGGCAAAACACAGUGGGCUGAAGAGCUAAUUUGACGAUUGGUCAAUUAGAUGGAAGUGAAACCCUGAGAUCAACGGCGAUAAACUGUACUUCAUCAAAAUGAGUGGAACGUGGAUAUGAGCCUUUAGCCUCCAUUUCAAAUGCUUCGGCUUUUCAAAUUUCAACGGCUAUCUAUUCGAAUUUUCCACCGGAGGAGCUAGCAGAGAUGCCCGAUAACUCGCGAGUUCCGUCUCCCGCUACGUUACAAGAUGGAACAACGUCUCAUCUCUCUUCUCCAAGCUUCACCUUCUGUCUACCACCUAAGGCAAAUUCACGCCCUCAUCACCAGGGCUUGCCCUGCCCUAACUCGUGUCUUCCUCAGUUUUUUACUGAAACAAUCCACUAUUCACUAUGCCCGUCAAGUGUUCGACGCAAUGCCCCAGCCGGACUCAUUUCUUUCCAAUUCUAUCCUGUCCGCACACUCCAAGUUAUCUUUGCACUGGCAGGCGCUAGAAAUCUUCUUUCUUUCGCACCGUAAGAACAUCCAAGUCAUCUCUUUUUCCAUUCCAUCUGUGCUUAAAGCCUGCGCGUCAUUAGCUGUGUCUGAUGCUGGAAAACAAGUCCAUUCACUUGUUCGGAAGCUAGGAUUUUUCUCAAAUCCAUUUAUACAAACAGCCUUGAUAGAUUUUUAUGUAAAAAAUGAUAAUAUAUAUUCAGCUCAGAGGAUCUUUGACGAGAUUGCUGUAAAGGAUCCGGUUCCUUACAACUCUUUGAUGUCCGGGUAUUCCAAAUCUGGCAAUGUUGUUGCAGCACGGAAUCUGUUUGAUGAAAUGCCGCAGAGGACUUCUUCCUCAUGGAAUACAAUCAUCACUUGCUAUGCACACCAGGGGGAUUUUGAUGAAGCCUUGAGGUUAUUUGAAAGAAUGCGUGAAGAAGGAUUUCAAUCGAAUGAGAUCACAAUUGUGAUAGUUCUAUCAAUAUGUGCAAAAGUAGCUGAUUUAGAAACAGGACUGAAGGUUAGGAAACUCAUAGAUGAUCACCAUUCCAGAACUAGUUUGAUUGUUCGGACUGCAAUUUUGGAAAUGUAUGUAAAGUGUGGCGCUGUUGAUGAGGCACGACUGGAGUUUGAUCAGAUGGACCUUAGAGAUGUCGUUGCAUGGAGUGCUAUGAUUGCUGGUUAUGCUCAAAAUGGGAGAUCAAAUGAGGCUUUGGAGCUAUUUGACAAGAUGCAGCUCCAGUGUUGUGAGCCUAAUGAAGUCACUCUUGUAAGUGUUCUGUCUGCCUGUGCCCAAUUGGGCUCUGUGGAGGUUGGAGAGCGUAUUGGAAGCUAUGUUGAGAAGAAGAGUUUUAAUUCUAGUGUUUAUGUUAACUCUGCACUCCUUGAUAUGUAUGCCAAAUGUGGAAAUAUCGAAAAAGCUUGCCUUGUUUUCGAUGAGAUGUCUCGAAAGGAUAUCAUAUCAUGGAACUCAAUGAUAGGUGGUUUGGCCUACAACGGGCUCGCAGUGGAUGCAAUCAAUCUCUAUUAUAAGAUGAUUGAAGAGAGCCUCAAACCAAGUGAGAUAACUUUUGUAGGACUUCUAACUGCAUGUACUCAUGCUGGAUUGGUUGAUUUAGGGCUCAAAUUCUUUCAUAGUAUGAGAUGUGAGCAUAAAAUUGUGCCAAAGGUUGAACAUUGUGCGUGUAUAGUUGAUCUUUUCUGCAGAUGUGGAAGGGUGGAAGAUGCUUUAAAAUUCAUAUGUGAGAUGGAGAUCGAACCUAAUGUAGUUAUUUGGGGAACACUGCUGAGUGCAUGCAGAAUUCAUUCAAAUAUAGAGCUUGCAAAGAUCUCAAUGAAGAAGCUAUUGGAACUGGAGCCCGAGAACUCUGCUAAUUAUGUUCUUUUCUCAAAUUUGUGUGCUGAUGCGGGCCACUGGGAGGAAGCGAGGAGUAUGAGAAAACUUAUGAUGAGCAAAAAUGUGCAGAAGAUAGCUGCAUAUAGUUGGAUAGAAUUGGAUGAUAGGUUACACAAGUUCUUGGUUGGCGAUAGGUCACAUUUCAGAUGUGAUGAGAUAUAUGAUGUUGUCGACGGACUAAGCUUACAGUUAAAGUGGGUCCAAGACCUUGAUUUAGAUCAGCCAUUUUGAUGUUUUAUGUAAGAGAAAUAGUGUUAUCUCUGCUCAAAAUUCUCUAAUGAGGAUAUUUUGGGGGUGUCACGAGUUGUUGCGGUCUUGAGAUCAAAUACCCCACUACACCAAAUUUAUCCUUCGGUGCUCAACUUUCCAAAAAAAAUUGUUGAGCUUAAAAUAAAUGCCUUCAUCAUCUUGCCACUUUCUAUUGUUCAUGCCUUCUUUACAUCAUUAUGUUGGUUGAAGAAUUGCAACCUUGAAUGUUCCCCAAGGAAGUGGACUCUUUUGUCAUUACUAACACAUUCGCAAAUGUCCUCAUAAAAACAAGCAGAUAAAAAGUUAAGGCUAAGGUAAAUAGAAUUGCAGAGAAAGUUAUUUUUGUAUGUUUGAUUUUUUGGCAUUGGUAUUGUGUUUACUUCACCUUUGCCCAACAUCAAGUUCAUUUCUUUUUUCAAA